AAUGUCAAUGACCAUAUUUUAACCUGCUAUUUAAGGCUGUCAUAGCCAUAUUCUUAUAACAAUGCAGUUAAGUUCAAGAGAACUAUAGUUUGGUGAUAUGGAUCCCAAACGGAAGGGAACAGCAGCGGUUUGUAGUUGUAGAGAACUAAUUAGCGCCAAGUGUUGUUAACCUGUUGUUUCUUGUUUACCUUUCACAGUAGCCCAUAGCACUUUUGUCAUAGAGAGCAACUUGGUCAGUAAAUAUGUGCCUGCUGUAUAAAGUAGCAGUAUUUGGAUGAGUUACAGCUAACACGGCAAACUUGAGACUGUAUAUUGUGUGUUUGACAGAUUUCUGACAGCGACAGCGAUGGUGAGGGAAGCAGUGUACCGAACUCUCAGAUGACUCGGACCAGGUGACCAAACCCAUGCAAAGCACAAUGACUGUGCUGAGGCGUUCCGCCCCCCUCCCCCUCCACACCACUCAAGGCACUGCGGCGGCCCAACCGCAAACUAACGGAGAUUAACAUGAGGCUGGAUGCGCUUGGCUCCCUGCUGCGUCCAUCACCAGAGGGGCCGGGAUUGCUGCGGCAGCUAGCCAAUUAAAGGAGGAGGAUGAAGGAGAGGAGUCUGACGAUGCAGACAUCGCCAUCGUAUGCAGUCCACGCCCUCGCAGGAAAACCAGCCAAUGAAAACGCUUGCAGCAGCAUCAGCAGAACACACCGGCACGACUGACAGAGCUUCUGAAGCAUGCAGUGGAAGAGCUGUCAGUCAAGCUAAAGGUCCCGCCCUCCAACCUGCUGCUGCUGCACGGACAGGCGGAACUUAACACCUCACACACUAUUGGCCAGCUAGGACUCUGCAUCGCUGACAUCUUUGUCUGGAACCAACUUCACAUCCCUCUUCACUGCACUACUGACACUGAGAUGGAAUCCACAACCCAACCACUAGUGAUCUGCAUUGGGAACCUGAAGAGUCUGUCAUAACCGCCAGGAAUGACCGUGUGACCAUUCCCGUUGCAGACGGCCUGACUUGCACAAUUGACAAGCUGUUCAAGCUUUACUGGGUCUGCAACUUGUUAUAUCCAGCACAGCUCAGCUCUGUUUUCACCUUCUUUGAAUAUGUUUAUGACGCUCCCAUCUCAACCAACAAACCAAAGGCACUACAACUUCUCUCAAAGCUUCCCAGCAGCCCAGUGAUCACUCAACAUGUGUUUAUGCCCAAAAUGUAAAUAGUUACUACAGACAUCAAGAAAAUAGUUUGGCAUCUUUGUCAAGUACACGCUUUGUCAGAUGCACAGGAUAUGAUGAUAAUUUGCAGCCAAGAUGGCUGUUCAAGUGUACAAGGACUUACUAUGUAGACACCACCUCCGUAGACAACACCAGUCCACAACAACAGAAAUGGGAGUAUCUUUCAAUGACUCUUUUGAAUCCACUGACAUUCAGACAGCCUAUGCAGCUUCAAGUAACACCUGAAGAAAGAGCAUUUUGUGUCCCUUCUCAAGGACCGAUUCUCCAUAAUUUACCACUUAAUGACAAUUUAUCUGUGUUCAUGCUUGUUAGGAUUAUUACAGGGAAUUAUUUUGAUUAUCAUUUUGGCAACACUUUAUUUUAUCAUUACAUCUAUUAGCUCUAAUACAUACAGUGUUAAUGCCUGUAUGCUGUAUAAGUAACUUGUAAGGCAUGCACUAAGCAAAAUCAAACAUACGUUAGGCAUGUAUUCGCAAAUGCCUUGUUCAUGCACAAUUUGGGAUUUAUUACCUAAUAUAACCUCAGUAAGGACCUAACAAAUGUUUGAUUUCGCUUAGUACAUGCCUUACAAGUUACUUAUACAGGCAUUAACUCAUUGAUACUGGAUGUUGCGUUGUGCAACAUUGGCCCUGGCGCCUGGAGUUUUGUAUGGCAUCAGCACCCUUUUCUGCAAGUGCUUUAGGCAUCAAUGGGUUAACAUUGUAUGUAUUAGUGCUAAGCGAUGUAAUGUUAAAAUAAAGUGUUACCAUCAUAUUUUUAAAAAAUAUAUAUGUUGUAAAACUGGACGAUUGUGAAAUUAUAUGAUGUGGCAGAUGUAAGACCCAUUGAUGUAAUGCAGAGUUUUCAUUCAGAUGAACUGUCUCUUAACCCAAGGUACAAUGUCUUUUCUUCCAAUAUGUUGGAACCUAUUUCAUAAGAAUGUUAUUUUCAAGAAUAUUUAACACUACUUCGAAUUUCAAGACUUUAGGGUUUUGUAAUACACCGGUAAUGUUGUUAAGAGAUGAUAGUGUACGAGUCAUAAUCAUCAAUACUUCAUGAAAUUCGCAGUGGUGUUAAUUAUUCUUGAAAAAGAUCACAUUUGUUAUCUCCCCCUCUUCUGAAAAGCCUAACAAAAAUAAUAUGACAGUAAAGUUAAUGUAAUACAAUUUUUUUUUUUAAUUGAAUGUAAACACAACUCUACAAAAAAAACGUUGCAGAGGUAUGUAGUCAAGACUUUUGAAGAUUGAACCUUGUAAACAAAAGUGUUUUCUAAAUAAAAGUAAACCCCCCCUGUCA